rnacentral:rRNA from 1 species
GGGUGCAAGCGUUAAUCGGAAUUACUGGGCGUAAAGCGUGCGCAGGCGGUCUUGUAAGACAGAGGUGAAAUCCCCGGGCUCAACCUGGGAACUGCCUUUGUGACUGCAAGGCUGGAGUGCGGCAGAGGGGGAUGGAAUUCCGCGUGUAGCAGUGAAAUGCGUAGAUAUGCGGAGGAACACCGAUGGCGAAGGCAAUCCCCUGGGCCUGCACUGACGCUCAUGCACGAAAGCGUGGGGAGCAAA